GACGAACGCUGGCGGCGUGCUUAACACAUGCAAGUGGAGCGACGAACCGGGGCUUGCCCGGGCAGAGCCGCGAACGGGUGAGUAACACGUGGGUAACCCACCCCGAUGACCGGGACAACCCGAGGAAACUCGGGCUAAUACCGGAUGUGCUCCUUGACCUCGAGGUCAAGGUGUAAAGAUAGCUUCGGCCUUCGCAUCGGGACGGGCCCGCGGCCCAUUAGCUUGUUGGUGGGGUAACGGCCUACCAAGGCGACGAUGGGUAGCUGGUCUGAGAGGACGAUCAGCCACACUGGGACUGAGACACGGCCCAGACUCCUACGGGAGGCAGCAGUGGGGAAUCUUGCGCAAUGCGCGAAAGCGUGACGCAGCAACGCCGCGUGGGGGAANACGGCC
rnacentral:rRNA from 1 species